UCAUGACAAAUCGAAGAGUUCUCAUUUGUGCAAAUCUGCUCAAUGCUAAUAUCUGCACCUGCACUUCUGGGGUGUGGUAAAGCAGCCACCCAUGUACAAUAAGGGUGAAUCUCCUACAUCUCGGAAGGACAGAAGGCCUGAAAUCAGCAAAACCAGCUCAAGCAUUCCCCUGCCCUUUUGAUUUGGAAAAAAAGAUCGAUAUUUAUAAGAACUUCCUGUCGAGAAGAAAGAGAAAGAUCGCUCACUAACCAGAGGCUAAAGACAUUCACAGGCAUCUGAUAGACAACUUUGACACCUGAUCCCUGGGGACCUUAUGGAGUCGCUCAGAGUUCUUAAGAGACUUCCCUUACUUUAUCAUUCCAGAAAGAAUUGUCACAGCAAUAACCCCAUUGAAGCAUCUUAUGCCCAGACUCAAGUUCAAAAGCACUGAAAGGAGAAGAAACUGGAAAUUGGAGUCUCCAUUAAGAACUCUUGAGAUGCCGUGAUGCUAUAGUUGAGAACCAAAUGUGAGGAAGAAAAGACAUUGCUGAGAAACGAUUUGAGAAGAUGAACCAGUCAUACAAUUGGUGGAACUCACUUCUGGUACAAAUUCAAACUAACGUCAAUUUUCCUUUCAGUGCAAGUGAUAUCUCCACAAGGUCCUCAAGGAGUUCAGCUAGCUCUCUGAACAUGUCCUAUAAAGGAAACUUUGCAACUUGA